rnacentral:rRNA from 1 species
AUUGAACGCUGGCGGCAGGCCUAACACAUGCAAGUCGAGCGAGCGGCGGACGGGUGAGUAAUGUCUGGGAAACUGCCUGAUGGGGGGGGAGAACUACUGGAAACGGUAGCGAAUAUCGCAUACCAUCAGAUGUGCCCAGAUGGGAUUAGCUAGUAGGUGGGGUAACGGCUCCCCUAGGCGACGAUCCCCAGCUGGUCUGAGAGGAGGACCAGCCACACUGGAACUGAGACACGGUCCAGACUCCUACGGGAGGCAGCAGUGGGGAAUAUUGCACAAUGGGCGCAAGCCUGAUGCAGCCAUGCCGCGUGUGUGAAGAAGGCCUUCGGGUUGUAAAGCACUUUCAGCGGGGAGGCGUUACCCGCAGAAGAAGCACCGGCUAACUCCGUGCCAGCAGCCGCGGUAAUAC